rnacentral:rRNA from 1 species
UACGAAGGGGGCUAGCGUUGCUCGGAAUCACUGGGCGUAAAGCGCACGUAGGCGGAUUCUUAAGUCAGGGGUGAAAUCCUGGAGCUCAACUCCAGAACUGCCUUUGAUACUGGGAGUCUCGAGUUCGGGAGAGGUGAGUGGAACUGCGAGUGUAGAGGUGAAAUUCGUAGAUAUUCGCAAGAACACCAGUGGCGAAGGCGGCUCACUGGCCCGAUACUGACGCUGAGGUGCGAAAGCGUGGGGAGCAAACAGG